CACGUAGGGGGCGAGCGUUGUCCGGAUUUAUUGGGCGUAAAGAGCUCGUAGGCGGUUUGGCAAGUCGGGUGUGAAAUUUCGAGGCUCAACCUCGAAACGCCACUCGAUACUGCCAUGACUGGAGUCCGGUAGAGGAGUGCGGAAUUCCUGGUGUAGCGGUGAAAUGCGUAGAUAUCUGGAGGAACACCGGUGGCGAAGGCGGCAUCCUGGACCGGUAUUGACGCGUGACGGCGCGAAAGCCAGGGGAGCAAAGCGGG
rnacentral:rRNA from 1 species